rnacentral:rRNA from 1 species
AAUAGAUACCCGGGUAGUCCACGCCGUAAACGAUGAGUGCUAGGUGUUGGGGGGUUCCACCCUCAGUGCUGACGUUAACACAUUAAGCACUCCGCCUGGGGAGUACGGCCGCAAGGCUGAAACUCAAAGGAAUUGACGGGGGCCCGCACAAGCAGUGGAGCAUGUGGUUUAAUUCGAAGCAACGCGAAGAACCUUACCAGGUCUUGACAUCCUCUGACCACUUGAGAGAUCAAGCUUUCCCCUUCGGGGGACAGAGUGACAGGUGGUGCAUGGUUGUCGUCAGCUCGUGUCGUGAGAUGUUGGGUUAAGUCCCGCAACGAGCGCAACCCUUGACCUUAGUUGCCAGCAUUCAGUUGGGCACUCUAAGGUGACUGCCGGUGACAAACCGGAGGAAGGUGGGGAUGACGUCAAAUCAUCAUGCCCCUUAUGACCUGGGCUACACACGUGCUACAAUGGGUGGUACAAAGGGUUGCGAAGCCGCGAGGCCGAGCCAAUCCCAAAAAGCCACUCUCAGUUCGGAUUGUAGG